rnacentral:tRNA from 1 species
GGAACUAUAGCUCAGGAUAAGAGUGCUUGCCUAGAAUGCAAGAGGUCCUGAGUUCACUCUCUUGUACUA